rnacentral:rRNA from 1 species
GCGAAUGGCUCAUUAAAUCAGUCGAGGUUCCUUAGAUGACACGAUCCUACUUGGAUAACUGUGGCAAUUCUAGAGCUAAUACAUGCUUUUGAAGCUCCGACCCUCGUGGAAAGAGCGCUUUUAUUAGUUCAAAACCAAUCGCCGUUGCCCUUCGCAAGAGGGGUGCGGCGUCCCCACUGGUGACUCUGGAUAACUUUGUGCUGAUCGCAUGGCCCUGCGCCGGCGACGCAUCUUUCAAAUGUCUGCCCUAUCAAAUGUCGAUGGUACGUGACAUGCCUACCAUGUUUAUAACGGGUAACGGGGAAUCAGGGUUCGAUUCCGGAGAGGGAGCAUGAGAAACGGCUACCACAUCCAAGGAAGGCAGCAGGCGCGCAACUUACCCACUCCCGGCACGGGGAGGUAGUGACGAAAAAUAACAAUACGGGACUCUUUCGAGGCCCCGUAAUUGGAAUGAGUACACUUUAAACCCUUUAACGAGGAUCUAUUGGAGGGCAAGUCUGGUGCCAGCAGCCGCGGUAAUUCCAACUCCAAUAGCGGAUAUUAAAGUUGUUGCAGUUAAAAAGCUCGUAGUUGGAUCUCAGGCGCAGGCGGGCGGUCCGGCUCGCGCCGGCUCACUGCCCGUUGUCUCCUGCCCUACCGGGUUGCCGGCUCUCUCCCGCGGGUGCUCUUCGCUGAGCGUCCCGGGUGGCCGGCGCGUUUACUUUGAAAAAAUUAGAGUGUUCAAAGCAGGCCUCGGCUGCCUGAAUAAUGGUGCAUGGAAUAAUGGAAUAGGACCUCGGUUCUAUUUUGUUGGUUUUCGGAACUGGAGGUAAUGAUUAACAGGGACAAACGGGGGCAUUCGUAUUGCGGCGUUAGAGGUGAAAUUCUUGGAUCGCCGCAAGACGAGCUACUGCGAAAGCAUUUGUCAAGAAUGUUUUCAUUAGUCAAGAACGAAAGUCAGAGGCGCGAAGACGAUCAGAUACCGUCGUAGUUCUGACCAUAAACGAUGCCGACUAGCGAUCCGCAGGAGUUGCUUCGAUGACUCUGCGGGCAGCUUCCGGGAAACCAAAGUGUUUGGGUUCC